rnacentral:tRNA from 1 species
GGGCGCUUAGCUCAGGGGGAGAGCGCUUCCUUGACGAGGAAGAGGUCAGAGGUUCAAAUCCUCUAGCGCCCAC